rnacentral:rRNA from 1 species
AACGAACGCUGGCGGCAUGCCUAACACAUGCAAGUCGAACGAGACCUUCGGGUCUAGUGGCGCACGGGUGCGUAACGCGUGGGAACCCGCCCUUAGGUUCGGAAUAACUCCCCGAAAGGGGUGCUAAUACCGGAUAAUGUCUUCGGACCAAAGAUUUAUCGCCUUUGGAUGGGCCCGCGUUGGAUUAGCUAGUUGGUAGGGUAAAAGCCUACCAAGGCGACGAUCCAUAGCUGGUCUGAGAGGAUGAUCAGCCACACUGGGACUGAGACACGGCCCAGACUCCUACGGGAGGCAGCAGUGGGGAAUAUUGGACAAUGGGCGAAAGCCUGAUCCAGCAAUGCCGCGUGAGUGAUGAAGGCCUUAGGGUUGUAAAGCUCUUUUACCUGGGAUGAUAAUGACAGUACCGGGAGAAUAAGCUCCGGCUAACUCCGUG